GACGAACGCUGGCGGCGUGCUUAACACAUGCAAGUCGAACGGAAAGGCCCUGCUUUUGUGGGGUGCUCGAGUGGCGAACGGGUGAGUAACACGUGAGUAACCUGCCCUUGACUUUGGGAUAACUUCAGGAAACUGGGGCUAAUACCGGAUAGGAGCUCCUGCUGCAUGGUGGGGGUUGGAAAGUUUCGGCGGUUGGGGAUGGACUCGCGGCUUAUCAGCUUGUUGGUGGGGUAGUGGCUUACCAAGGCUUUGACGGGUAGCCGGCCUGAGAGGGUGACCGGCCACAUGGGGAAUGAGAUCCGGCCCAGCCUCCUCCGGGAGGAAGAAGUGGGGAAUAUUGCACAAUGGGCGGAAGCCGGAUGAAGCAACGCCGCGUGCGGGAGGCCGGCCUUCGGGUUGUAACCGCUUUCGCCUGUGACGAAGCGUGAGUGACGGUAAUGGGUAAAGAAGCACCGGCUAACUACGUG
rnacentral:rRNA from 1 species